rnacentral:rRNA from 1 species
GAAACCGUGUACGUACAAGCAGUGGGAGCACCUUCGUGGUGUGACUGCGUACCUUUUGUAUAAUGGGUCAGCGACUUAUAUUCUGUAGCAAGGUUAACCGUAUAGGGGAGCCGAAGGGAAACCGAGUCUUAACUGGGCGUUAAGUUGCAGGGUAUAGACCCGAAACCCGGUGAUCUAGCCAUGGGCAGGUUGAAGGUUGGGUAACACUAACUGGAGGACCGAACCGACUAAUGUUGAAAAAUUAGCGGAUGACUUGUGGCUGGGGGUGAAAGGCCAAUCAAACCGGGAGAUAGCUGGUUCUCCCCGAAAGCUAUUUAGGUAGCGCCUCGUGAACUCAUCUUCGGGGGUAGAGCACUGUUUCGGCUAGGGGGCCAUCCCGGCUUACCAACCCGAUGCAAACUACGAAUACCGAAGAAUGUUAUCACGGGAGACACACGGCGGGUGCUAACGUCCGUCGUGAAGAGGGAAACAACCCAGACCGCCAGCUAAGGUCCCAAAGUCAUGGUUAAGUGGGAAACGAUGUGGGAAGGCACAGACAGCCAGGAUGUUGGCUUAGAAGCAGCCAUCAUUUAAAGAAAGCGUAAUAGCUCACUGGUCGAGUCGGCCUGCGCGGAAGAUGUAACGGGGCUAAACCAUGCACCGAAGCUGCGGCAGCGACACUAUGUGUUGUUGGGUAGGGGAGCGUUCUGUAAGCCGUUGAAGGUGUCCUGUGAGGGGUGCUGGAGGUAUCAGAAGUGCGAAUGCUGACAUAAGUAACGAUAAUGCGGGUGAAAAGCCCGCACGCCGGAAGACCAAGGGUUCCUGUCCAACGUUAAUCGGGGCAGGGUGAGUCGACCCCUAAGGCGAGGCCGAAAGGCGUAGUCGAUGGGAAACAGGUUAAUAUUCCUGUACUUGGUGUUACUGCGAAGGGGGGACGGAGAAGGCUAUGUUAGCCGGGCGACGGUUGUC